GUAUAGGUUUAAUGACUGCGACUAGCACAAUCUUUAAAAGACAUUCUGUAACUUUAUAGUGUAUAUGAAAACAUAGCCUUGAAGAAAGCAAGCAGGAGAAGCGCCUUGCGGCCCAUCCUCCCAAACCGCAUUGCUGCGAGAGGUUCGCUUCUUCAAAGACUACAAAAGGUGCACAAGAGAAGAUAAAUAGAUGGGCGAGCACAUGCUCAGUGAAGAGCCAGCAUCAGCACCAACGUAUUCAAUAAUGAUCCUUCCGCAGGUUCACCUACGGAAA
rnacentral:misc_RNA from 1 species